GUUCAUAAGUAAAAUGAAGGGUCUGUGCAAGGACAUAAAUAAAGCAUAGGAGGUUGAAGUCAGAUUUGCAGCUUUCUGUGCAGGAGACAAGACAACCUGCGUCUUCACAGGAGGAAUGGGCAUGCUCCUGGGGGCAUCAUUGCUGAUUCUGUGGCUUCAGCCAGACUGGGUAAAUAGUCAACAGAAGAAUGAUGACCAGCAAGUUAAGCAAAAUCCACCAUCCCUGAGUGUCCAGGAAGGAAGAAUUUCUAUUCUGAACUGUGACUACACUAACAGCAUGUUUGAUUAUUUCCUGUGGUACAAAAAAUACCCUGCUGAAGGUCCUACAUUCCUGAUGUCUAUAAGUUCCGUUAAGGAUAAAAAUGAAGAGGGAAGAUUCACAGUCUUCUUAAACAAAAGUGCCAAGCACUUCUCUCUGCACAUUGGGGCCUCCCAGCCUGGAGAUUCUGCAGUGUACCUCUGUGCAGCAAGCGGUGCUGGCUAUGGAAAGCUGACAUUUGGACAAGGGACCAUCUUGACUGUCUAUCCAAAUAUCUUCAUGCCAGAUCCCUAAGGUUGACCAUGAGAUGUUGCAGAAGGCACUUCUAUGCCAUAUUAGCUAUUAGACUGAAUCACCUCUGGGCUCCCUUUCAACUCUAAAUGCUAAGAUCCCAUGACUCAAGCCUGGAGGAUUAAUAG